rnacentral:lncRNA from 1 species
UGAACAUUUGCUAUCAUCAUCAUGAGUACCAAUUGUAGGAUAUCACUUGAAGAAACAUUUGAGUCUAGAUAUCCAUUUUCAUUGUUGUCUUGUUCUUGUACUCUCAUCAUCAUGAGCUUCUAAUUGUUGACUUGAACUAUGUUGAUUUGCCUAAGCUUCCAAGUCCGGUUUGAACCAAUGACAAGCUUUUUCACACCUCACAUUAAGGGUUAUCUUGCCAAUGUUGUACUUGUUACUUGUUAACAAUCCAAAAUAGAUC